AACGAACGCUUGCGGCAUGCUUAAAACAUGCAAGUCGAACGAGAAAGUGGCUUCGGCCAUGAGUAGAGUGGCGCACGGGUGAGUAACACGUAGCUAACGUCCCUCCUCGCUGGGGAUAACUCAGGGAAACCUGGGCUAAUACCGAAUGAUCUGACAUGGUCUCUGGACUAUGGCGGUAAAGCCUUCGGGCGCGAGGAGAUCGGGUUGCGUCCCAUUAGCUAGUUGGUAGGGUAAUGGCCUACCAAGGCUACGAUGGGUAGCUGGUCUGAGAGGAUGAUCAGCCACACUGGAACUGAAACACGGUCCAGACUCCCACGGGAGGCAGCAGUUGGGAAUAUUGGACAAUGGGGGAAACCCUGAUCCAGCAAUGCCGCGUGAAUGAUGAAGGCCUUCGGGUCGUAAAGUUCUUUUAGCAGGGAAGAAGGGAAACUUGACUGUACCUGCAGAAAAAGCACCGGCUAACUCCGUG
rnacentral:rRNA from 1 species